GAUCUUCCGGCUGCUGGCACAAGUAGGAAACAAACAGUUUCUUAUCUGUUAGUUCGAAUUUAAUCUUGUUACGUGUCUCAUCCGCAGCGGUUUUUAAGGUAUCAAUGGCAACCUGCAGACUCUCUGUGAUAUGUAUUAGGGCAGCUUGUUUACUAAAUAUAGUCACCCGACAAAGGCGUAUUCUGUCUUCGACACACGAAGUUAGACGCCAAAGUAGUUGAAGUAGUGGUUGUGUAAAAGACACAGAGCAAUAUCGCAGCGAAUGAAGAGAGCCACAGGAUGCUCCUUAUGGCAUUCUCAGCUUUUCUCCCUCAACAACGUCCUAACGAUUUAGUACGUCACUGUGAAUCUGAGUAAUGUACCUCUUCCAAGCUCGUCAAUUAUGAUAAGUGACAUGUCACUGGCAUUCUAGAAAAACAAUUUAAAUUCCUUGUAAACGUGCAAACUAAAGACUGAAAUGUGGAAACGAAGAUGUACACUCCAUUUAAAAGAAAUGGAAACGC